rnacentral:rRNA from 1 species
UACAGAGGGUGCAAGCGUUGUUCGGAAUUAUUGGGCGUAAAGCGCGUGUAGGCGGCUUUGCAAGUCGGGUGUGAAAUCCCUCAGCUCAACUGAGGAAGUGCGCCCGAAACUGCCAGAGCUUGAGUCCUGGAGAGGAUGGCGGAAUUCCCCAAGUAGAGGUGAAAUUCGUAGAUAUGGGGAGGAACACCGGUGGCGAAGGCGGCCAUCUGGACGGGUACUGGACGC